rnacentral:rRNA from 1 species
ACGAACGCUGGCGGCAUGCCUAACACAUGCAAGUCGCACGAGACCUUCGGGUCUAGUGGCGCACGGGUGCGUAACGCGUGGGAACCUGCCCUUAGGUUCGGAAUAACUCCCCGAAAGGGGUGCUAAUACCGGAUAAUGUCUUCGGACCAAAGAUUUAUCGCCUUUGGAUGGGCCCGCGUUGGAUUAGCUAGUUGGUAGGGUAAAAGCCUACCAAGGCGACGAUCCAUAGCUGGUCUGAGAGGAUGAUCAGCCACACUGGGACUGAGACACGGCCCAGACUCCUACGGGAGGCAGCAGUGGGGAAUAUUGGACAAUGGGCGAAAGCCUGAUCCAGCAAUGCCGUGUGAGUGAUGAAGGCCUUAGGGUUGUAAAGCUCUUUUACCCGGGAUGAUAAUGACAGUACCGGGAGAAUAAGCUCCGGCUAACUCCGUG